CCCUUAGAUGUUCUGGGCCGCACACGCGCUACACUGGCAGGUUCAUCGAGCUUCAUGCCCUGAUCUGAGAAGAACGGGAAAUCUUUGAACACCUGCCGUGCUUGGGAUAGAUGUUUGCAAUUAUUCAUCUUCAACGAGGAUUGCCUUGUAAGCGCACGUCAUCAGCGUGCAUUGAAUACGACCCUGUAUUCUGUACACACCGCCCGUCGCUCCUACCGAUUGGAGUUUUCGGUGAAUUUACUGGAGAUCCCUUUUGAAGGUGGUUCGCCACUGGAAGAAGUAUUCAAAAGUAAAUGAAUCGAAUGCUUUAGAGGAAGGAGAAGUCGUAACA
rnacentral:rRNA from 1 species